AAAAAAAAAAAAAAGAACGAGAGAACGAAGAGGAGAGAGAAAGAGGAAAGAGAAAAAGUAAUAAAGGUAUUUUGGUCAGUUUGCUGAAAAAGUGGACCGAAUUUGCAAAAACGAAAAAGGUGGCCCGGUUUUGCAAAAGCCCAAAAUAAGUGGAUUUUUUAUGCAAAUUGGCCAUAUACUAUUUGGUGUGUAGCUAUUAUUAUACUUUCAAAAGUAUAAGAAAAUUGAUACUUUUCACUUUUUUAUUUUUGAAUUAAGAAUUAUAGAAUUGGAAUGAUAGUAGUUCUUUUAGCCAUCGUUUAGUUCGGAGUUAAGUAAAAAUUUGUUAUUUCAGAGAUAAGAUUGUUCAGGGUUAAGGUAGGGUUAGAGUAAUUUUGUGUUUGGUUGAAAAUUGGAUUUAAUCCAGAUAUAGAUAAAAUAGUAUUUGUUUAGAGUAGGUGAGAUAAAAAUGAUAGUGGGUAAAAUAGUAUUUUAUUUGGUUGGAGUAGUUGGGUGGGGCCCCACCCCAAAUGGGCUAUUCCGGAAUAGUCCAUUUGGGGUAGGGUUAGCUAAUCCCACCCUCCAAAUUAGGUGUUUGGAAAUAACUUCGGAGUUAAGAGAUUGUUUCACCCCUUAAUCCCGAACCAAACGCGUGCUUAGUAUUGAGUGAUCUUCCUAUGAUAAUAAUAAUAUUAAUUUAAACGUCGGAAAUGAUCAAAGAGAUUGAUCUAAAAAUUUAGAAAUACCAACUCCUUUAUACUUCCGAAAAUAUAAUAGUUCUACUUGUACUAUUAGUACACUCUAAAAUAAAAUAUAUAUCUUAAUUAAUUAUUUACUUUUUAUAUCAAUUUUUUUAUUUUAUUAAAAAUUAUUUGAAUUUUUGUGAACUCUAUAA
rnacentral:lncRNA from 1 species